AGUGAACGCUGGCGGUAGGCCUAACACAUGCAAGUCGAACGGCAGCACAGUAAGAGCUUGCUCUUACGGGUGGCGAGUGGCGGACGGGUGAGGAAUACAUCGGAAUCUACUUUUUCGUGGGGGAUAACGUAGGGAAACUUACGCUAAUACCGCAUACGACCUACGGGUGAAAGCAGGGGAUCUUCGGACCUUGCGCGAUUGAAUGAGCCGAUGUCGGAUUAGCUAGUUGGCGGGGUAAAGGCCCACCAAGGCGACGAUCCGUAGCUGGUCUGAGAGGAUGAUCAGCCACACUGGAACUGAGACACGGUCCAGACUCCAACGGGAGGCAGCAGUGGGGAAUAUUGGCCAAUGGGCGCAAGCCUGAUCCAGCCAUACCGCGUGGGUGAAGAAGGCCUUCGGGUUGUAAAGCCCUUUUGUUGGGAAAGAAAAGCAGCAGGUUAAUACCCCGCUGUUCUGACGGUACCCAAAGAAUAGGCACCGGCUAACUUCGUG
rnacentral:rRNA from 1 species